CCCCUUUAAAACAUCCAGUUACUUUGUUGAUGACAAACCACUUAUAAGCAUCAAACCUCAUUUAAAGCGACCUAAAUCUUUUAUCGGCUUAGUAUAAAGGAUGAGGGAUAAAAGUCAAUGAAGCUUCAAUUGGUUCAAUACAAGUUCACAUUUUGACAAAUCCUUUGGCCUCAUAUUUAUCUCAAACACUACCAUUAAAAUAUUCUCAAAAUAUUUGUUAUCUAAGGUAUACACUUAAUAUGGACAGUAAUCUAUAUUCAUUCUAAACACCUUACCUUAAAUGUCUACUCUCCCCAAUUAAGUCUUCUUCUUACAUCUAAACACAUAAAUCUCUAAAAUUAACUUCUUUAUAAACUGUUCUUCAAAUCAAUUUAGAUGCAUGAUGUUCAGCUAUGGGGAGUUGUUAAACACAACAUUAAUGAAAUCCCAACAUUCUAAUACAAAUUCCUUUGUUAAAUAAUCAAAGCCCCUAUUAUGUAUAAAAUCAUAAUUCUUUAUUUUAACAAUACACAAUUUUUUCCAGAUAUUCUACUAAUACUUAAACUCCAAUCUAUAUAACCCUUUUAUUUCAGAACUGUCAGUUCCUACUAUGCACGGUGACCACAGAAGGUGCUUAAAUGAAUCCUUUCUACUUUGCCACUCCAUUAUCCAUCAAUGAUCAACUCUUUGUCCAAAUCUUCAUAUUUAAAAUUAAGUAAUACAAUUUAUUUUAUAUAAACUUUAUAACAUCACUUGUGCUUAUUGUAAACAAUGUUUUUACUGAUUAUUAAAUUUAUGACUUAGUUAUAAAAAAAAAACAAAAAAAUUAUAAAUUUUAAUUACUUAACACUAUUAAA